UACGUAGGGGGCGAGCGUUGUCCGGAAUCACUGGGCGUAAAGCGCACGUAGGCGGCUUGUUAAGUCAGGGGUGAAAUCCUGGAGCUCAACUCCAGAACUGCCUUUGAUACUGGCGAGCUUGAGUUCGGGAGAGGUGAGUGGAACUGCGAGUGUAGAGGUGAAAUUCGUAGAUAUUCGCAAGAACACCAGUGGCGAAGGCGGCUCACUGGCCCGGUACUGACGCUGAGGUGCGAAAGCGUGGGGAGCAAACAGG
rnacentral:rRNA from 1 species